UUGGUCUAUGGUGUAAUUGGCAACACUACGGUUUCUGGUACCGUCAUUCUUGGUUCGAGUCCAGGUAGACCAGCUCG
rnacentral:tRNA from 1 species